CCGGGGAGGCCUCAGUGUCUCCUCUCCUUCGGGAGAACGGAAGGACGCCUGCGGCCUACGACCCCGCCUCCUGCACGACCUCCUCCUGGGCUCCACCAGACAGACCUAGGCUUCAGCGCGCAUCUGCUGCUGUUCUUCCUCCCUCUGGUCCUCCGCUUUGAUGGGAUCCUCCCGGGGAAGCUAUUUGCUGUGAUUGUGGUGGUUCAACAGGGUGAGGUACAGGAUGUCGUCAUUCCUGGGAUAUGCUGAUGUUCCCUCAAAUAUUAGACCUCCAGAAGUUUCACAGAGGCAAUAGACACCAAUAACCUGGAAGAUACAUGGGUAUUUGUCUUUCCCUAGUAAAGGGUUUCCAGGUAAACGGCUGAAGGGCACUUUGGGGAAAUCCAGGAGUAAGUUCACAUCCCACGGUUGGAUAUUUUGGAAGAAUCCUUUACUCAAGUUUACUCAGAUUUCCCUUUCAAGGGAUGCUGGGCCUCUGAACUGAUUCAGAUCUGGGAACCAAGUGAGAGGUCAGGAAUCUCCUUGUGCUACAAGUCAAGAGGACGGGGGCUGGCUUCCCAUCGUCAGCCCCAAGGACCUCAGGACCAGUCAAGCACAGCCAUGCUCUGUGUGGCACGGACCAGACAGUAACCUCCAACUUGCAUCUGGAGGUGAAGUGUCAUACUUCUUGAACUCUAACACCCUAGUAUCCUCCUGUCCCCACUGAAAUCAGAGAAUCCCUCUCCACUGUAAGAUCUCCAGUGAGCAUCCCUGUCUAUAGAGAACAGUUACUAAAAUGUAUCUUGAAGAUAUAGAUGCUCCACACACCCAUGCAUCUCCUAAGACUUUAGCGAAGGGAAUCAUUUUUGUUUGAAUGGGCAAGUCACACAUGAUAAAUAAGUAAUUCUUUUAAUCUGAGAGCAUGGGAUAUCUUUCCAU